UAUUGAAAGCUCUUGUACCUCGGACGGGAAUAUCCAAAAGGCCAGAGUUACUUUAAAGAGAGACUUAAAAAAGCGUUCUUGAAAAACAAGGACGUUACAGAUCCUGAAAAGAUCAAGGAGCUUAUUGGUCGCGGAGAAUUUGUCAUAAAGGAGCUUGAAGCAUUGUACUAUCUUAAAAAGUACAGAGCAAUGAAGCAGCGAUAUUACAGCGAAGAACAGAACUCAUGAGGAUCACUUUACGCAAGCAAUCCCGGAGCCAUUCUUGCUGGGUAAAACCAUUAUUUCCAAAUUACUGCCACAAAUGAUGAGUAACUCAUAACUUGUAUGGGUUGAAUGAAUGUAAACACUAAUCUGAAAUUGCCAAUCAAAAAAAAUAUGCAAGUAGCAGUGUUAUACCAUCUAGGCUAUUAUAGCGGAAAAUGAACUGGUAGUGCGCGAGCCAUGCAAUCUAUCCAGUUAUUGGAGAAAUAAAGCUAAGAUGUCUGUUAUGUUUUAAUAAUCUGGUCUGUAAUCUUUGUCUUUGUAACGGACCGUUUUGCACACAAGGGGUAAAAACCGUUUAGGCGAUCGGCCCCCUUUCCAGAGAUCCAGGCACAGCUACUGCAGAACACCAAAACUCACGAACUGGAUACAAAAUAGCACUCCAACUCCCGAACUGGAACCUCCCAAAUAGCUGCUAGCAGACGAACAGGAAAAGCAGACGAACAGCUUACACCCCUGGCAAUCAGUCUCUAACAGCAUACAGUGAAUCCCCCCAAGAACGAGACAAGGCUCCGUGUUGAGGGUCAAGCAGUGGUCUGAGGUGCUGGCACACCCAGCCUGGUUUUAUUACAGUCUUGCAAAUACAGGACCGCCCACAGGGAGGUAUAAAACAACCAAUCACAUCACAGUUACAUCCCACAUAUUCCCUCCCCUUAUCCUGAGAGGAAACUCAAUUACACAUACAGUUAAAACAUACUUUCUACCCAACUUUCAUAACUCUAAAACUAUACAUCACAUUCACAUAAAAUUACAUAUUCACAAUCAAUCCAUUCAGGGGAACAACAUAUUAAAAAAUGGCAUGAAUCAGACCAGGGGUUCAAAAGUUAGUAAAAAGUCCUUUGUGACUAAAUGAAGCAUGACUUUCUGGCCCAAACCAGUUUCAGAGUCUUCUAUCCUGGAGAGUAAUUCAAUUACCUUCCAGGACAGACACAAGACUCCAUUAAGCACAUGGUUGCAAAAAGACACAAAGACAGUAAAACACUUUAAAAUACAUAAAGUUACAUUUUACACAUAACACACAGACAUUUCACAUAUCCCCAGAUAGCUCAGGUCUGAGCGCACAUUAUUAAGUGAAUGGCGCUCGGACCACACAAAUAUAGUUUAAUCGCCAUGGAGCCAAAGUCUUUACAGUCAGUUUCAUACGAAUGGGCUCCAUGGGAUUCCUAUCUGGGGUAUAACACAUUCAAACAAAUCUACUGAACCCCAGGCAGAAAAGCACGAAUACAGCUUUUCUGCAGGCAAAAAUAAAGUCUUUAAAAAGGGGGCCAUAGUCCAAAGGCAGCAGGCGAGCAACCAGGCUUCUCCAAUGCAAUGUGGCGAGAUUGGUCUCGUCACAGUCUUCAUGUAGGAAGCUGAAGAAAGAGCAUGGGGGGAGGGUUGACUAUGUUAACAAAGGACAUCCAGUAUGCACAGAACUGACAUUAAGCAGCCUCUUGGUCCUCCAGGCUGGCUAAUGACUCCUCCGUGAUGCUGCUGUGCGUAGUUACAGCUCUGGGGUUAAACUUUGUUUUGCGGUGAAACGCUGCACAGUUUUUUAAAGGUAUAGUGAUGGCCAAGUGUAUGGCCAGGUACUUUAUAGUAAAGUGUGUCCCAGCAUAUGUGAGAUGGUAAGGAAGGCCCCCGGCCAUUAGAAUCAGGGAAAGAGCUUCACCAAUGGGCAUUGAAUAUGACAAUAAUGUGCACCAGAAAUCCGGUCCAUGAAAUGGCAGCCAUUGUUGAAGUAUGUUGUUGAUGAGUUCAGGGAGGGGCAUGGUGUAAGGAAAUGUGUCUGCAACGGUAGGUGAGUCUAUUGUAUAAGUAGUGCUGGUUUGUAAAGUUCAUGCUCGCUCUGUAAAUUUUAAUGCUAAAGCCAAACAAAGUUGCCCACUGAUGCAAAGUCUUGUCUCUUUGGAGAAAAAGAGACUGAGAAAUAAAGUUGCAUUUUGUUACAGAGAAAUAAAGUUGCAUUUUGUUACAGAGAAUUUUAAUCUUUUAGUAAACAGUCCCAAUCUGUGUUUUGUCCCCAAAUUCCAAAAUGUUCCCAUAAAGGGACAUGGAAUGGAAGAGGGAGUAUUAUGUUUAGGGUAAUAUGGUGUGCUCUCACUGUAGCAGGCAGCAAGGAUGUGGUUCCAGUGAGGUCUACACCUUCAGGGACCGAAGUCUAUAAACUGAGAUCACUUUAUCUCAGUGGUUAUAGUGUUCCUUUAAUGACACAUCUCUUGGCUCAUGCUGGAAUCUGUUUUUUUCUGUUUGCUGGGAUAUUUUAUGUCCACCAUCACAUAGUUACAUAGCAAAAAAGAGACUUGCGUCCAUCAAGUUCAGCCUACUUCACAUUUGUUUUUUGCUGUUGAUCCAAAAGAAGGCAAAAAAACCCAGUUUGAAGCACAAUUUUGCAACAAGCUAGGAAAAAAAUUCCUUCUUGACCCCAGAAUGGCAGUCAGAUUUAUCCUUGGAUCAAGCAGUUAUUACCCUACAUUGAAGAUUAUAUCCUUGAAUAUUCUGUUCUUGCAAGUAUGCAUCUAGUAGCCGUUUGAACAUCUGUAUGGACUCUGAUAAAACCACUUCCUCAGGCAGAGAAUUCCACAUCCUGAUUGUUCUUACAGUAAAAAAAAACCUUUCCUUUGCCUUAGGCGAAAUCUUCUUUCUUCCAGUCUAAACGCAUGGCCUCGUGUCCUAUGUAAAGUCCGGUUUGUGAAUAGAUUUCCACACAAUGGUUUGUAUUGGCCCCGAAUAUAUUUGUAUAAUGUUAUCAUAUCCCUCUCAGGCGACGUUUUUCUAAACUAAAUAGGUUUAAAUUUGUUAACCUUUCUUCAUAGCCGAUAUGUUCCAUUCCUUUUAUUAAUUUUGUAGCCCGCCUCUGCACUUUUUCUAGUGCCAUAAUAUCCUUCUUUAGAACAGGUGCCCAAAAUUGCACAGCAUAUUCAAUAUGGGGUCUUACCAGUGAUUUAUAAAGAGACAAAAUGAUAUUCUUGUCCCGAGAAUGAAUGCCCUUUUUCAUGCAUGACAAUACCUUACUGGCCUUGGCCACUGCUGAUUGACAUUGCACAUUGUUGCAUAGUUUGUUGUCUAUAACAAUUCCCAAGUCCUUUUCAUGUGUUGUUAUCCCUAAUUAGCUUCCAUUAAGGGUAUACGUUGCUUGUGUAUUCUUUACGCCGAAGUGCAUAACUUUGCAUUUUUCAACAUUAAAUUUAAUCUGCCAUUUGAGUGCCCAGUCCCCCAGUCUAUCUAAAUCCCUCUGCAGCAAAGUAAUAUCUUGCUCACAUUGUAUUGUUUUACAAAGUUUGGUGUCAUCUGCAAACACUGAAACAUGACUUUCAAUGUGGUCUUCAAGAUCAUUUAUAAACAUGUUAAAUAGAAGGGGUCCCAGAACAGACCCCUGAGGGACACCACUUGCCACCUCUGUCCAGCUUGAAAAUUUACCAUUAAUGACAACUCUUUGUACUCUGUUUUAAGCCAAUGUUCUACCCAAGAACAAGCAUUUUCAUCUAGACCGAUUUCCUUGAGUUUGAACACUAAUCUAUUGUGUGGAACUGUAUCAAAUGCCUUGGCAAAAUCCAAAUAGAUCACAUCCACGGCAACACCCUGAUCUAUACUUCUACUUACUUCUUCGUAGAACGCAAUCAAGUUAGUUUGACAUGACCUGUGCUUCAUAAAACCAUGCUGAUUUUUGCUGAUAACCAUGUUCUUCUCAAGGAAUUCUUGAAUAUUAUCCCUUAAUAACCUUUCAAAUAUUUUACCAGCCACAGAAGUUAAGCUCACAGGUCUAUAAUUUCCAGGCAAGGAUUUUGAACCCUUUUUGAAUAUAGGAACCACAUCUGCCUUCCUCCAAUCCUCCGGAACACUUCCUGAAAGAAAAGAAUCUUGAAAGAUUAAAAACAGAGGUUCACUUAUUUCUGCACUUAGUUCCUUAAGUACACGUGGAUGGAUACCGUCAGGCCCUGGAGCUUUGUUUAUAUUAACUUUCUUUAGUUGCUGCAGCACCUUGUCUUGAGUUAACCAAUUACAAUUAUUCUGCAAGUUUUUAGUAGCAAUCAUUUGCACAUCUAUUGCCAUGAGUUCUUCCUUAAUAUAUACGGAGGAGAAAUAGUUAUUUAAAAUUCCUGCCUUUUCCUGGUCUUCAUUAACUAACACCCCCGUUUCAGUUUUUAGUGUACCUACACUUUCAUUUUGUUUUUUUUUAGAAUUGAUGUACUUAAAAAAUGCUUUGGGGUUGGUUUUGCUCUCUUCAGCUAUCAUUAUUUCAUUUUGAAGUUUAGCAAGUCUAAUUGCCUUUUUGCACGCAUUAUUUGCAUCCUUAUAUCUUUUAUAAGAUGCAUCUGAUUUGUCCGAUUUAAAUGCUUUAAAUGCCCUUUUCUUAGUUGUAAUCUCUUGUUUUACUUCUCUACUAAGCCACAUUUGUUUUAAUUUGUUUCUUUUAUAUUUAUUUCCCAACGGUGCAUACUGAGAAAUGUACCUUUGUAAUAUUUGUUGGAAGAUGAUCCAUUUAUCCUCAGUGUUCUUUUCACUAAAGAGUUUAUGCCAGUCAAUAUAUUGUAAAGCUUCCCAUAACUUAUUGAAAUUGGCCUUUUUAAAAUUAUAUGUUUUAGUAUUCCCCAUGUGCUUUUGUUUUUUUGAGUUUAUUUCAAAGGACACUAUAUUGUGAUCACUAUUAGUGCUCACCUAAUAGAAUGUUGGUCAAAAGAUCAACGUUGUUUGUUAAAACCAUAACUAGAGUUUUUUCAUUUUGCCCCACCUAUUCAUUCACUAGUGAAUACAAGCAGCUGUUAUCUCAAACUUACCUUUCUUCAAUUGUUUACUCUUUUCCAAUCUGUUCUCCUUUUCUGAUCUAUUUCGCUUUGGAAACUUAAAACAAAGUGAGACUACUUUGUCUAUCUCUAUUUCCUACACUUGACCAAUCUUCUACUUCAGUUAUCAAGUAUAACUUUCCCAUAAUACCCACUUUUCCAUAGACUCUAUUCUCUUUAGUCUUGCAAGCUUCCCUAUCUGCAAUUCUGUGUGUAUUUGUCUCCCACUGCAUAGUAUGGGCAGACAAUUGAACUGGCAGUGCGUCAUCACAGAGCCACUUUAAAAUUCAGCUUCUUGUAUUAAGCUCCAGAAUUAUAAUAAAUAUCCAACUGCUUGGACCUUGAUAGAAUGAAUAAAGCGUUUCUCCAUAUUCCAUCAUUCUCCUUCAUGCCAUCCACAGUUCUGUAAUGCUUUUUAAUGCAUGAUGUGCAGUAAGAGGACAUCUAGAUUCUGUGAAGCACUUACCCUCUCGAUGGAAAUGAUCUCCCUAACCUGUUCAAUUAUCACGGGUCACCGGGAUGGGAGACGAACACCCACCGAAUAGUGCCCUUCUAACUUGUAUAGAACUGAACGCAGGUGAUGAUGGUCCAGCGGUGUUCGGGAGUUUGUGUCCGAUUUUAGUUACAUGAGAUUCAUGCCCAAACACCGCUGCCUGCGUUCAUGCAAACAAGAUGGCCGCCACUUCGUGGUUUCCAUAGGAAUUGCGGCCACCCAGACGAACAAUUAGAACACUGCGGUGAGAAACGUACCAAGUUGUUAAUAGGUGUUAACAAGCUCCUGGGUGGUCCCUGGUUCGUGCGGUUGUUCGGUAGUUGAACAGGACAAUGUUAAAAUAGGAGGGGCAUGCAAUCUACCGAACAGAAUAGCAAAAAGGCACAAACAAGGUCUUUUAUGAGCCUCUUUGCAUGGCCCAUAGUCCUGAGGCAGGAGGCUGGCAAACAGGCCCCUCCAAGAACCAGUGGCGAGGUUAAUUUCGCCACAUUCUCCAUACCCAAUCUGUGAGGGGUACACUGUUUUACCCCUCCUACCUGAGAACCUCUUCAUACCCAACCUGUGAGAGGUACACUGUUUUACCCCUCCUACCUGAGAACCUCUUCAUAACUUACCUGUGAGGGGCACACUGUUUUACCCCUCCUACCUGAGAACUUCUCCAUACCUAACCUGUGAGGUGUACACGGUUAUACCUCUCCUAUCUGAGAACCUCUCCAUACCUAACCUGUGAGGGGAACACGGUUAUACCCCUCCUAUCUGAGAACCUCUCCAUACCUAACCUGAGGGGUACACGGUUAUACCCCUCCUAUCUGAGAACCUCUCCAUACCUAACCUGUGAGGGGGUACACGGUUAUACCCCUCCUAUCUGAGAACCUCUCCAUACCUAACCUGUGAGGGGUACACAGUUAUACCCCUCCUACCUGAGAACCUCUCCAUACCUAACCUGUGAGGGGUACACGGUUAUACCCCUCCUACCUGAGAACCUCUCCAUACCUAACCUGUGAGGGGUACACUGUUAUACCCCUCCUACCUGAGAACCUCUCCAUACCUAACCUGUGAGGGGUACACGGUUAUACCCCUCCUAUCUGAGAACCUCUCCAUACCUAACCUGUGAGGGGGUACACGGUUAUACCCCUCCUAUCUGAGAACCUCUCCAUACCUAACCUGUGAGCUGCACACGGUUAUACCCCUCCUACCUGAGAACCUCUCCAUACCUAACCUGUGAGGGGGCACACAGUUAUACCCCUCCUACCUGAGAACCUCUACCUAACCCGGAGGGGCUGUUAUACCCCUCCUAUCUGAGAACCUCUCCAUACCUAACCUGUGAGGGGGUACACGGUUAUACCCUCCUAUCUGAGAACCUCUCCAUACCUAACCUGUGAGCGGUACACAGUUAUACCCCUCCUACCUGAGAACCUCUCCAUACCUAACCUGUGAGGGGGUACACAGUUAUACCCCUCCUACCUGAGAACCUCUCCAUACCUAACCUGUGAGGGGGUACACGGUUAUACCCCUCCUAUCUGAGAACCUCUCCAUACCUAACCUGUGAGGGGGUACACGGUUAUACCCCUCCUAUCUGAGAACCUCUCCAUACCUAACCUGUGAGCGGUACACAGUUAUACCCCUCCUACCUGAGAACCUCUCCAUACCUAACCUGUGAGGGGGUACACAGUUAUACCCCUCCUACCUGAGAACCUCUCCAUACCUAACCUGUGAGGGGGUACACGGUUAUACCCCUCCUAUCUGAGAACCUCUCCAUACCUAACCUGUGAGGAGGUACACGGUUAUACCCCUCCUACCUGAGAACCUCUCCAUACCUAACCUGAGGGGUACACUGUUAUACCCCUCCUAUCUGAGAACCUCUCUAUACCUAACCUGUGAGGGGGUACACGGUUAUACCCCUCCUACCUGAGAACCUCUCUAUACCCAACCUGUGAGAGGAACACGGUUAUACCCCUCCUAUCUGAGAACCUCUCCACACCUAACCUGUGAGGGGGUACACGGUUAUACCCCUCCUACCUGAGAACCUCUCCAUACCUAACCUGUGAGGGGGUACAUGGUUAUACCCAUCCUACCUGAGAACCUCUCCAUACCGAUCCUGCGAGGGAUACACGGUUAUAUCCCUCCUAUCUGAGAACCUCUCUAUACCUAACCUGAGGGGUACACUGUUUUACCCCUCCUAUCUGGGCCCCCAGAUAUCACCCCUAUUAUUUAACUAAAAGAGAGUGAUGGUUCAAAAAUAUUAGUUUAUCUUAUAAACCAGUCAAGACAUAGCUUUUAAUGAAAAAUCUGAAUAAAAGUUAUUGUAUGAAAUCUAAAGGAGCAGACAUUACACAGCACUACAGUAAAAGGUUCCUGUUAAUGGGGGUUUCCGAGGGAGUCUAUCGAGAAUGUUUUACGUAUACCAACCACUAGGGGGAGAUAGAGUACAAAGCACUCAGGGCUACAUUUUGCGAGCCAAGAAAUUAGUGUAAUUCCCCUAGUGGAUUUCCUAUUUAAUUUAUUAUUAUUGCCAUUUAUAUAGGGCCAACAGAUUCUGUAGCGCUUAACAAUAUUAUGAGAGGAGGGAUUUAACUAUAAAUCGGACAGUUACAAGAAAACUUACAGGAACGAUAGGUUGAAGAGGACCCUGCUCAAACAAGCUUACAGUCUAUAGGAAGUUGGGUAUAAAGCACAUUAGGACAUUUAGGGUUACUUACUAAAUACUGAAUUCUGUUCAGAUGGACAAAAUUAUAGCAUGUUUGCAAUUUAUCAUUCACUUAUGGGUAUUAUUUCUCUGCUGGAAAUUCUAGCAGACAUAUUGUUAAACAACCUGCAGUGGGUGAGGGUUAAUUGAAGGCUGGCCAGCAGUAGAAAUAAAAAAUAUCUCAUGGAGGAUCGGUAUGAUUCCUAUCUAAGUAUAGGUCGGUUUAAAACUGCUCACAUGCCCCAACCCACCAUGCGCAUAUAGUACAUAUCUACACUGGACAGCCUGCAACUUAAAACUACCAGUUCCUGCCUGUCACUAACAAGGCGCCACACCGUGUAAAUUACUGGGGCACCGAACUAUAACAUUCUAGAUAGACUCUGUAAGACAUGGGAAGCCGCCGUUAACAGGAACAUUUUACUGUCUGUACUUCAUUUGCUUUCAGGGAUAUAAAGUGCUUGUGGCGGACUGCAUGGCACCCCGACUGGGUACCUCCACCAAUUGCUGCUUCCUAGUAUCACUGAGUACUAUAAGCACCACACCGGACACCAUAAGCACUGUAGUCCCCUUAGUCACCACAGCUUGGCUAAGGUCUCACUGUCCCUUCCGUGGACCAACACCUGGAUCCAGCUCCCAGUGGGAAGACCUCUCCUCCAAGAGAGUAUAGCUGUGUAGCCCUUAAAAGAGCUAGUGAUAUAGCAAUCCAAAGAGCAGGGAUAUAGCUGCUAAAUCUUUCUCCCACACACAUAAGAUGAGGCUCUAUGCUGGGGAUGAACUGAUUUAUUGGGAGCCACACACUGCCUUUUAUGCAACCCCCCAUGCAAGGGGCAUUCCCCGCUGGACCUGAGAGAGAACUAGUUGCAAACAAACAUCUAAAUUAAAUUAUCUCCCAGUACAGAAAACGUGCAAUAUAACAAUACCUCAGAAGUACCCCCAAAACACAUUAAAACCCCGCAAAAGUUACAUCCCCUGAUAUCCCCAAUCUGGGUGACCAACAUAUCCAAAAAAUCACCCAGAUCGGUUCAGGGGUUCGGGAUUUCCAUGGAAGUCAAUUAUUUGACCGACCAUGCACAUGGUCCUUGGCCCAAAACAGUUCCAUGAAAUCAGUGCUAACAGUCAGUCUAGUUCGGUAGUUUAAAAACGAACAAACUACCGAACAUAGUCCAUAGUCUUACCCCAGAGCUUGUUUACCUUGUUCGUGGGAACUUUUCCACCGAACAUUGCCCUUCUAAGUGGUGUAGUACCGAACGCAGGCGAUGCUGGAAGUUCAGCGGUGUUCAGGGGUUUCUGUGUCAGAUUUCAGUUCCAUGAGAUUCAUUCCCAAACACAGCUGCCUGUGUUUGUGGGAACAAGAUGGCCGCCAACUCGCGGUCGUUCAUGUGACGAACAAUUAGAACCCUGCGGUGGAACGUGUUACAAACGGUCAGUUAGGCUUAACGUGCUCCCGGGUGGUCCAUGCACCUGUUCGGUUCCCGAACAGAAUAGAGAAAUUGUACAAAGUCUUUUAUGAACCUUUUCACAUGGCCCAUAGUCUUGAGGCAGGAGGAUGGCAAGCAGGCUUCUCCAAGAACAUGUGGCAGAGGCAUUUCUGCCACAGUGCUGUGCGGUUUGUUUUGUUUUGUGUAAAUUUAUUUUUUUUGAAAAAAAAAUAAUAGGGAUAAAUAAAGUAGUCUUCAUUUCCACAAUCAAACAGUAGCUCAGUAUGGGAAUCACAGGGCCCAAUAAAAAUAGUUUGUCAUGAUGACACGCAAUUAUUUCAUAGUGUGUGUGUGUGUGUGUGUGUAUUUAUAUAUAUAUAUAUAUUUAUUUAUUUGUGUUAGAUACUCAUGAUCGUACAGAGUAAAAUACCAUAAUUAAAUGUAGGAUAGUAAAAAGGGCUAGUCAGUUGUGGUGUGCCAGAACCGACGAUGAGGUAGGCCUGAGAAAGAAGAGGGCCUACCCAGGAAAAAAAAAAAAUAGAAAGGAAAUAAAUGUUAAAAUGUGGUGUGGUGGGAGGGUCAUUGAACGCUGACCUCGAACGGUAAGGAGCAAGGUAAGGGGUGUGCCUUAAGUAGGCUAGGAGUGGAUACCAAGCACCUCCCACAAAUCCAGGCAAAUUGCCUUAAUACUUGUGUUAGGUGCUCAUGAUAGUACAGAGUAAAAUACCAUAAUUAAAUGUAGGAUAGUAAAAAUGGCAAGUCGGUUGUGGUGUGCCAGAACCGACGAUGAGGCAAGCCUGAGAAAGAAGAGGGCAAAAAUUAAGUAAUCAAAUUUUUUUACAGACAACCAAUACAGAUACAUAUAUCAACCAGACAUGUUUUUGAAAGCAUCCCUUAAUUCUUGUACUGGGUUCGGUAUGUAUCGUGAGUAAGCAGAUGACUUCCAGCGCCCCAGUGUUUUUAUAACAUGGACUGGAAUGUUGACACUGGAGGCUGUGGACGAUGCUCCUAUGCGGAAGGAGUGCUCUGAGUAGUUAGCUGCUUUGAGGCCCAGUUGAGUGAGCAAAGACCUGACGUACGUCAUGAAGGUUGUAGUGGUGAGUACCGAACUUUGUAAUAGUAGUAAUGGUUGUGAUGGUAUUGAAAUAUGAUGCUGUAGGUAUGCAUCCAGAAUCUUGACGGGGCACCACUUGUUGUGCGUGGGGUAGUAUGUAAUGUUUACUCGUAUGUGCUGGCUGGUUUUGGAGUGAGGUAGCGUUAGGAUGUAAUGAUCCAUGUGUUUUGUUAAGUGGGAUUAGAGGAGAAUAGGAGCAGAUUGUGUUGUGUUGGUUGUAGUAAACUCUCUAGGUCUUAGAAAUCCAUAGAAAGCUAUGUAUAUUGCUGCCUUGAUGACAGAAUUUGUAUUGGUGUCAAAAGGUUUUAAAUCAAGCAGGUUAGAUAAUGCCUUGAAGAUAUGGUUAUCUAUGGGUAGACUCUGAUGUACGUGUGGGUUCAGAUUUCUGAAUGCCUUUGAGGAUAGUCUUGAUCUGGUGAGAGGCCAUGAAACUAGUGUUGUUAGGUUGUAAGAUUAGCAUAUGGCGUUGAAUGCCUGUGAGAUAAAGUUUGAUGGUGUUAUAUGACAUUUUAAGGUGGCAAAAAGAAGCAAAACCCAAAAAGGAUGUCAUAACAAAUGGUUGCAUGAUGUUAUGUUCCAAAAGGAAUCUUUUGAAUAGUGUAAAAGCCCUGUCGUAUGUUUUGUGUGUAUUCUUUGACAGUGCCAAUUGGGACAGUGUCCUGCUAUGAUGCAUGAUGAUGUCUAGUCCAGUAUUAGUUGUUGAAAUGUUGGAGUGGUAGUGGCUGUGAGUGCAGCUGAUGGGAGUGCUUGAUGAAAUGCCUGAAAUUUAAAAUGAGACAAACUGUCAGCAGCUGUGUUACAUAUUCCUGGAACAUGGAAACAAUGUAGAAAGAAAUUAUAACAAGCUGCCAACCACGUGAGUUUCCUCAGAAAUCUCAUGAUCGUAAGGGAUUUUGAGCGACCUUUGUUGAUGAUGUGACAGGUUGCCUGGUUGUCUGAGUAACAACGAACUGGCAUGUUUUCCCAUAAAUGACCCCAUGCUGACCAUUCAAUGCUGACCUCGAACGGUAAGGAGCAAGGUAAGGGGUGUGCCUUAAGUAGGCUAGGAGUGGAUACCAAGCACCUCCCACAAAUCCAGGCAAAUUGCCUUAAUACAUAUAUAACAGUUUAGAAGUUUUAACCAAUCAUGGACUGUAGAUGCUAGUGUGACUGUAAUCAAAACAAGUGUAAAGUAUUUGCAAUAAAUUGCCUGAAAUUGCGCAAACUCAAUAGAUUUAAAGAUAAGCUUCUCCAUCAACCUGCAUCAUCCUCUGUGAAGAAAUCCCUCUUUAUGUUUGGCAUUUCUCCCCUUUCCAUACGGUAGAUGUAACUACCGAACAGAGACCACCCCCCGGUUCGUUAACUUCAAAGCAUGCCUUAAUUAAACCCUCUACCUGUGCGGCUGUUGUUCAUAUUGCCGGACGCCACGUGGCUGAGAAAACGGCGGGCAUCUUUUUUUGUGCGAACAAAGGCAGCGGGACUUGGUCAUCGAGUGCCUGGAACUAAAAUCGGACACUCGACUUUCGGGAACACCGGUCCCAACAUACGAACGCUGGAUCUUUAUUUCCCGAACAGCUAGAAGAGUGUUGUUCGGUACUUUUGUUCAUGCAUAUGAGGGGAACAAUCGCUGCUAAGAGCCAGGGGAAACCGUUUGUGGAAUUAUUCGGUUUUUUCCUACUUAACAAAAUGGAUCGGCAAAACUACCCAAACUCGUGGAACUGUUUUGGGCAGCAACCUCGCGGUUAGCCGGUCACAAAAGACUUCCAUACUUUUUGAGAACCCCUGAACCGAUCUGGGUGAAAUUUGAAUAUGUUGGUCACCCAGAUCGGGGCUAUCAGGGGACAUAUUAUUUGUGGGGAUACCCUAUGCCUAAAGGGGUGUUUUAAAUAUUGGGUAAAACUGUAAUCUUUCUGCCCGGAGAUAAUCAAGUUAUUACUUUAUCAGACUUGAUUAUCUCCAGGACUAGGGGAGGGAAUUGUAUGUUUGUGCUGGGAGUGUUUUAUGUUUUCCUUGUAACUGAUUGGAUGUACUUUGUCCCUCCCUGUGGCAUAUGACUUGCAUAAAAGCCAGUGUGUGAUAAUUAAAAGCCAGUUCUGUUGCCCCCUUCUUCUAGACUCUGGCUAAUGUUUGGGUGUUCGUAUGCUUUAUUAAUGGAAUCAUCUUGUAAAGCUUUCGUUUCUUUCAUCUGCCGAACGGAGAGCUAUAAUCACUGAUGCCCUGGCCGUUCGGGAGGAAACUACCGAAUGAGGAUUGGAUAUACUAGGUUUCCUUACAUCCUCCAUUCUGGAAAAACGGCUUUGAAUUUUAUUCAAG